GCCAUACCAACUGAGAACGCCUGAUCUUGUCUGAUCUCAUAAGCUAAGCGUGGUUGCGUCUGGUUAGUACCGGGAUGUGAGACUGCUGGAAAUACAAAGUGC
rnacentral:rRNA from 1 species